ACGUGGGGCACCUGUUGGUCCCUCCCAGGGGAGGGGGCCGCGCGCCCGACUCGGCUCCCCGGAGGCUCUCUCCUCCCUAAGCAAGCUGGGCGCAGCCCGAGCUUCCGGCCGCCCUCGCCCCUUGCCCCUCGCCCCUCGCGUUGUGUAGUAAAUAAAGCGUUGGCCAAAUUAAGCAAAUAAGCCAAGUACUUCUGUGCGGAUCUCCCAGCCUGUGUCUGAGCUGCGCAACGGAGAGCACCGGCAGGGGCCUGCCUCAAUCAUUGCGCGUGAGGUGACACGCAGAUCUUCAGGCCCGCCCGCGUCCUCAUUCAAUUCUAGAGGGCGCCUGAACGUUUAAAGGUCAAAUCCCACAGGACAAUAGCACGAUGGCUGACAACCAUCCCUACCAGAGAGGAGGAGAGGAGCACUUCCUUCUGCAGGCAGACUGGACCAAGGAAUGUGAGGCUACGAAAAGGAGAAGGGUUUACCCAGAGCACCAUCAGGCAAGCUGUGCACUGCAGGCAGGAGCCAGCCAUCCCAGCUGAGAGCGCUGAGGAGGUCCGGCCACACUGCUACUGCCCAGGGAGAGGGCAGAGCCAGAGCACCCUGCACAGAAGGCCAAGUCCUGCCGCACAGACUUCCAAGUAACUCAUCAGGGCCCACCUUAUACAGGUGAGCAGUAAAGGAUUGCCAGCUAUUUGAGAAAAGCCUCUAAUGUGCCAGAGGAGACUAAGAUAAAAAAACAGGACCUAGGAAAACAGAGACAAAGAAAAUUUUAAAAAAUCACAGUAACUACCCUUGGAGAAGUAACAAAACCAUUCUUGAAACAAGAACAGUAUAGUAUUAGAACACACACACACACACACACACACAUAU
rnacentral:lncRNA from 1 species